UGUAGGCUGACUUUCCAGGCAAAUCCGGAGAGUCAAGGCUGAGGCGUGACGACGAGGCACCACGGUGCUGAAGCAACAAAUGCCCUGCUUCCAGGAAAAGCCUCUAAGCAUCAGGUAACAUCAAAUCGUACCCCAAACCGACACAGGUGGUCAGGUAGAGAAUACCAAGGCGCUUGAGAGAACUCGGGUGAAGGAACUAGGCAAAAUGGUGCCGUAACUUCGGGAGAAGGCACGCUGACACGUAGGUGAAGUGAUUUACUCAUGGAGCUGAAGUCAGUCGAAGAUACCAGCUGGCUGCAACUGUUUAUUAAAAACACAGCACUGUGCAAACACGAAAGUGGACGUAUACGGUGUGACGCCUGCCCGGUGCCGGAAGGUUAAUUGAUGGGGUUAUCCUCGCGGAGAAGCUCCUGAUCGAAGCCCCGGUAAACGGCGGCCGUAACUAUAACGGUCCUAAGGUAGCGAAAUUCCUUGUCGGGUAAGUUCCGACCUGCACGAAUGGCGUAAUGAUGGCCAGGCUGUCUCCACCCGAGACUCAGUGAAAUUGAACUCGCUGUGAAGAUGCAGUGUACCCGCGGCAAGACGGAAAGACCCCGUGAACCUUUACUAUAGCUUGACACUGAACAUUGAGCCUUGAUGUGUAGGAUAGGUGGGAGGCUUUGAAGUGUGGACGCCAGUCUGCAUGGAGCCAACCUUGAAAUACCACCCUUUAAUGUUUGAUGUUCUAACGUGGACCCGUAAUCCGGGUUGCGGACAGUGUCUGGUGGGUAGUUUGACUGGGGCGGUCUCCUCCCAAAGAGUAACGGAGGAGCACGAAGGUUGGCUAAUCCUGGUCGGACAUCAGGAGGUUAGUGCAAUGGCAUAAGCCAGCUUGACUGCGAGCGUGACGGCGCGAGCAGGUGCGAAAGCAGGUCAUAGUGAUCCGGUGGUUCUGAAUGGAAGGGCCAUCGCUCAACGGAUAAAAGGUACUCCGGGGAUAACAGGCUGAUACCGCCCAAGAGUUCAUAUCGACGGCGGUGUUUGGCACCUCGAUGUCGGCUCAUCACAUCCUGGGGCUGAAGUAGGUCCCAAGGGUAUGGCUGUUCGCCAUUUAAAGUGGUACGCGAGCUGGGUUUAGAACGUCGUGAGACAGUUCGGUCCCUAUCUGCCGUGGGCGCUGGAGAAUUGAGGGGGGCUGCUCCUAGUACGAGAGGACCGGAGUGGACGCAUCACUGGUGUUCGGGUUGUCAUGCCAAUGGCACUGCCCGGUAGCUAAAUGCGGAAGAGAUAAGUGCUGAAAGCAUCUAAGCACGAAACUUGCCCCG
rnacentral:rRNA from 1 species